AGGCCCUAAGUCCAAAUGGCCAUCUGGUCUCGCCUCCAAACUGGCCCCCAUUCUCUUCCCUCCAGCCAGCCGCGAUGCUCCCUCCGGUCACCAUCCCUGCCCAUCCGCCUCCGCCGUCGAAGUCCACGACAACCUCCAGCCCGGAGCAGCAGCAGGAGCCGCCGCCGCCGCCGCCGCCUGCUCCUCCUUCCGGCGUUGAGUCCGAGGCGCCGCCGAAGAGGCGGAAGGUGGAGGAGGUGGGGUUUCAACGCUCGCCGUACUACACGAUCAGAGAAACCGUCGCAAAUCUCCGCGGCUGCUUCCUUCAGGGUCGAGCAGUAGAGGACUGGAGGUUAUAUUGUGCUUGUGAAUGAAAUUGCGGAAUAUCCUGUCGACGCUUGAACUGAAAUUUCUGUGCUGAGGUGCAUGAUUCAUACUAGUCCUUAGGCGGGUGCUCUUUGUUGUUGAAUUUAAUGGUCUGAUGACAAGUACGUGCUGAUACAAAAUGGAAAUUGAAGCUCACGGGAUGGAUGUGGUUUUAAGUUAUCAGGCUGGUUCACCAUGUUUAACGUGCUGGAAUGUUUUUGUCUGCCAUGUUUCAAGAUAUAGCACUGGUGAUAGUAUUGUGCCUCUGAAUGGAGUUAUGUGAGUUUCUAUUGAUUCUUGAACAGAAAACUGUUUGCUGAGUUCAUAAUAGUUUUUUGGGUGGCGUUUUCCUAAAAGUGAAAAAUUAUGGUAUGAUGGGGACAAAGUACAUACUGAAAAAAAACUGAAGUAAGAGUUCAAGAAAUGGAUGUGGUGUGGGUCUGCUAAGUAAUCAGGUUAGCGUCUGUGUGCCUUUCAAUGUUGAUAUGUGGUAUUGUGCUACAAACUUUUUUUAAGAAAUAUAUUAGUGCCUUUUGCCAAUAAGAAUAUCUGAUAUAUCUAAUGAUUUUUUGCUUGUCAUGUCAUUGGUUAUGAGUAAAACAUUAAUCAGUUCUAAAAUUGAUGUGUGUAAAUUGUAAUGAAGGUUUGCCAAGGAACAGAGUCCCAAAAGAAAGAUGCUGCUGUUGAGAUCUUGAAAGGUAAGUGAUUGACUGUAGACAUUCGCCUGCGAAUGUUCAAGGCCGGGAUUUUCCUUAAUCUAAAAAAAGUGUGAUUGGUCCAUCGUACUGGAACAAUAUGUGGAAUUUCCCAGUGUAUUUUAGUGAUCAUGUUCUGCACUAAAGAUAGGGUUAUGGAAGAAGAUUUUGAACCUUAACCAUUUUCUGUAGUCUAUCAUCAUUUUAUAGAAAACCAUAUUUCUCUGUGUGGGUAGUAACAUAAUUAUGGCAGCCUCAGGCGCUAUGGCAGUUUUCAGUUCUUCUCAAAUGUGUGCAGGCAAAUAUGCAAUCCUCAGUGUGGUUAACCCAUCCGAGACUAUUAGUAUGUUACAUUUGAUUUCUUAUCUACCAUGUAAAAUAUAUUAUUGCUUUCGAAAGCCAGCCACCUGAGUAACUGUGUUUCUCACAUUUAUUGUAUUUUGCAUUUGGUACGUAUGGAGUUCUUUAAUUAUGUGAUCUACUCAGCAGCAGCGAUCAUUUGAAACGAGCUGGUAUGUAUUGUAACCUAAAUGCAAAAGAAAGAAUAUAACUCUGUAUUAAAUAAUCAGUUAAGGGAAAUACACAAAUCAGAAGCUUCCUUUUGAAAUGCAUAUGUAAAGGCCAGCAAUAAUGCCCCUUGUCUUGCGAUCUAUGUAUACCUCUUUGAUUAUCUGGGUCGUAUAUUUGAGUGAUUUUACACAUGGUUUUUUUUCCCAUACAUAUGUGUGCAUACAAAUUCUUGAGAUAAUUAAAUUUAACUUGUCUGCCUUGUGCUCUUCUUUUGUCUUACAGAGAUGAAAGAUGUCAUGGAAUUAUCCAAGAAAGCACGGCUUGAACUUUCCUCUGCUGCUGAGCCUGUGAAAUCGUGCGACCAACCUGCAGCCAGAGCUCCCGAGGAUAAGCCUGCUGGAAAUGUUCCAUCUGCAGAGAAGAGUCAAGUUCCUCGAACAAGCCUGGCUGGAAAUUUCGUGCACAGUACAGGUGGGGAUGUACCGAUGAAGCCUGAUAACUCAGACACUGCACCACAUAAAUUGCUAGUGGAGACGAAAAAGAGGCUCAGACCAAGUAAGACAACAUAUCAUACAGUGCAGCAGGGUGGACUCCCGCAAGGGUCUUAUGUCAUCGGUGGAUCUCCCAUUGGCUGGAAUUUUCUCAUGUGGCCUGGAUGCAAAGCAGUCUACUACGGUUUGACCAAAGCAGAGUGGUUGGUCCGUCGAUCUGCAAGAUGAAGUUCCAUCCUCCUGUCCCAGCAAUCUAACCGCUACUUUCAUCUUAGAUCUUCAGAGGAUAACAUAGUAGCUGAUGCUGUGAUUAUAAGUAGUAGUAUAGAACUGAAUAGUACAUGACACUGCAGGAAGCUAACCUCUUGAACCAGAUCAUGGCGAGGUACUGAGAUGUAUCGGCACUCGGCAUCGAUACCCUUUUGGAAUGUUUUUCUUUUGCUGCACAUCAAUGCAAUCAGAUGUACAGAGAAUUUUGGUUGUAAACUGAAGGAGCCAAGUGGCCAUGACAUAGUUUCCGCUCAGAAGUGGAUAUGAGGAAGAACUUAAGCAUAUGACAGCGCAUUAUAUGUUCCCUUUUUGUUAA